AAAAGAUUAGCAUGGCCCCUGUGCAAGGAUGACAUGCAAAUUUGUGAAGCAUUCCAUAUUUUU
rnacentral:snRNA from 1 species